AGUGGACGCUGGCGGCGUGCUUAACACAUGCAAGUCGAACGAGAACGGAUUAUAGCUUGCUAUAAUUGUCAGCUAAGUGGCGCACGGGUGAGUAAUGUAUAGGUAAUAUGCCUCUUACUAAGGGAUAACAAAUGGAAACGUUUGCUAAUACCUUAUACUCCUUAUUAACAGAAGUUAAUAAGGGAAAGAUUUAUUGGUAAGAGAUUAGCCUGUAUUGUAUCAGUUAGUUGGUGGGGUAAUGGCCUACCAAGACUAUGACACAUAACUGGUUUGAGAGGAUGAUCAGUCACACUGGAACUGAGACACGGUCCAGACUCCUACGGGAGGCAGCAGUGGGGAAUAUUGCACAAUGGACGAAAGUCUGAUGCAGCAACGCCGCGUGGAGGAUGACACAUUUCGGUGCGUAAACUCCUUUUAUAUGAGAAGAUAAUGACGGUAUUAUAUGAAUAAGCACCGGCUAACUCCGUGCCAGCAGCCGCCGUAA
rnacentral:rRNA from 1 species